rnacentral:SRP_RNA from 1 species
AGUAGGGGCCCUCGCGAGGGGGAGCCGUGAACCUGGUCAGGCCGUAACAGGAGCAGCCAUAAGCGAGGUACUCUUGUGCGGGGGCCUCUUCUUCG